UUAUACGAGAGGCCCAAAUUGAUGAAAAACGGCGUAAAGCGUGGUUAAGAAAAGAGAGAAAAUACGGCCGAACAGCUUCAAAGCAGUUAUACGCAUCCGAAGUCACGAAGAACAAUCACGAAAGUUGCCCUAAAACCUCUGAUUCCACGAAAGCCAUAAAACAAACUGGGAUUAGAUACCCCACUAUGUAUGGUCGUUAACAUUGAUGGUUUUAUACCCAAACCAUCCGCCCGGGA
rnacentral:rRNA from 1 species